AAGUACUCCUGCUUCUUCUGGACUUGAUACUUUAAGGCGCAGACGCGUGUGUGUUUGGAUCCGUGCGCUGCGUGAGAAGGAACCGAAGGCCGUAAUCUUGAGGACUGCGUGAAGAAUCUGUUGUCUGAGGCUCUGGACAUUGAGAUGGGAGAUUACUACGAAAUAGACAGAAUCCAUCGGGUGGGGCCAGCACCUCCGAAGCCAGCUGCGGACUCCAGACCGAGACACAUCAUCGUUCGCUUCCUACCGGAUAAAGCCAAGAUGUCCGUACUGGCGGCUGCCA